rnacentral:rRNA from 1 species
UACGUAGGGUGCGAGCGUUGUCCGGAAUUAUUGGGCGUAAAGAGCUCGUAGGCGGUGUGUCGCGUCGGUCGUGAAAACUUGGGGCUUAACCCUGAGCUUGCGGUCGAUACGGGCAUCACUUGAGUUCGGCAGGGGAGACUGGAACUCCUGGUGUAGCGGUGAAAUGCGCAGAAUAUCAGGAAGAACACCGGUGGCGAAGGCGGGUCUCUGGGCCGAUACUGACGCUGGAGGAGCGAAAGCGUGGGGAGCGAACAG